AACGAACGCUGGCGGCAGGCCUAACACAUGCAAGUCGAACGCCCCGCAAGGGGAGUGGCAGACGGGUGAGUAACGCGUGGGAACCUACCCUAAGGUGCGGAAUAGCCCAGGGAAACUUGGAGUAAUACCGCAUAAGCCCGCAAGGGGAAAGAUUUAUCGCCUUUGGAUGGGCCCGCGUCUGAUUAGCUAGUUGGUGAGGUAAUGGCUCACCAAGGCGACGAUCAGUAGCUGGUCUUAGAGGAUGAUCAGCCACACUGGGACUGAGACACGGCCCAGACUCCUACGGGAGGCAGCAGUGGGGAAUAUUGGACAAAUGGGCGCAAGCCUGAUCCAGCCAUGCCGCGUGAGUGACGAAGGCCUUAGGGUUGUAAAGCUCUUUGGUCGGGGACGGA
rnacentral:rRNA from 1 species